AUGGUGGUUUUUACACAUAAUAGUGACAUUGUGUAGACAAGUUUAAAGUAGCUAACAGACCUGGGUUCAAAUACUAUAUGAAAUCAUUUCAAAUAAUUAAUCUGUGCUUGAUUGAUCAUACUUAAUCUGUGCUUGAUUGAUCUUGCUUGGUUUAAUGGAUUAUUAGAAUAGUCCCAAGCACUUCAGGCAGACUAGACUAAAUGCUCAUGUCAUUAAAAGAUUUCAAAUAGUAUUUGAACCCAGGUCUGGUGGGUCGGUAAAAGAUCUCUGUUCUUGCGCUGAUUGCUGAAUACUCUCUGUUGAAGUGAAGUAUCUUCUGAAGGCCUUUAUACACUAGGACAUGAAGGAUUCUGUUUAUUCAGAGGUUUCCUAACCCACCCACUGUCAUCCAACAUCAUCCUGUCCAAUCAGGUGUCCUAACCCACCCACUGUCAUCCAACAUCAUCCUGUCCAAUCAGGUUUCCUAACCCACCCACUGUCAUCCAACAUCAUCCUGUCCAAUCAGGUUUCCUAACCCACCCACUGUCAUCCAACAUCAUCCUGUCCAAUCAGGUUUCCUAACCCACCCACUGUCAUCCAACAUCAUCCUGUCCAAUCAGGUUUCCUAACCCACCCACUGUCAUCCAACAUCAUCCUGUCCAAUCAGGUUUCCUAACCCACCCACUGUCAUCCAACAUCAUCCUGUCCAAUCAGGUUUCCUAACCCACCCACUGUCAUCCAACAUCAUCCUGUCCAAUCAGGUUUCCUAACCCACCCACUGUCAUCCAACAUCAUCCUGUCCAAUCAGGUUUCCUAACCCACCCACUGUCAUCCAACAUCAUCCUGUCCAAUCAGGUUUCCUAACCCACCCACUGUCAUCCAACAUCAUCCUGUCCAAUCAGGUUUCCUAACCCACCCACUGUCAUCCAACAUCAUCCUGUCCAAUCAGGUUUCCUAACCCACCCACUGUCAUCCAACAUCAUCCUGUCCAAUCAGGUUUCCUAACCCACCCACUGUCAUCCAACAUCAUCCUGUCCAAUCAGGUUUCCUAACCCACCCACUGUCAUCCAACAUCAUCCUGUCCAAUCAGGUUUCCUAACCCACCCACUGUCAUCCAACAUCAUCCUGUCCAAUCAGAUUUCCUAACCCACCCACUGUCAUCCAACAU